rnacentral:rRNA from 1 species
AUGGAUGAUGAUAGGCCUUGGAGGGGUUCCCAUACCCCUUGUGGUGCCGAUGAUGUUGCUUGCUUCCAUGCUGCGAUCACCAUUCACCUGGGCAACGGCCGGAAGACCUCAUUUUGGCACGAUCGUUGGUUAUUUGGCCAAUCUCCAGCUAGCAUGGCUCCGGACCUCCUGCCGGUCUGUACAAGGAAGAACAUCUCGGUUCAACGCGCAUUCAGCCAUCAAACAUGGAUGUCUGGGCUUCAUCGCAUAUCCAAUACUACUCAAUUGCGUCAGUUCACCCUCCUGUGGCAUUUACUGCAACAGACUGAGCUGCGGCAUGAUAUUGAGGAUUCCAUCAGUUGGAACUGCUCUGAUUCCGGUACUUACUCUGCUCGCUCUGCUUACCUGGUGCAAUUCCAUGGCUCCUACUCCACCUGCAAUUUCUCAAAACUGUGGAAGGCCAAGGUCGAGGUUAAGUGCGGGUUCUUCAUGUUGCUCUGGAUUUGUGGCCGUACUCUCACCAACGAUAACCUUGCUGUCAGGGGUUUGGACCAUAACCAAUACUGCAACGUGUGCAACCAAACGGAGGAGACUCCCCUGCAUCUGAUCUUCAAGUGCACCUUCGCGCAAGAAGUGUGGCUGCCCUAUUCUUGCCUCCAAUGCCGCCACUGCUCCCUCUGUUUCUUCCUGGUGGAAUGA